rnacentral:rRNA from 1 species
GUGAACGCUGGCGGUAGGCCUCACACCUGCAAGUCGAACGGCAGCACAGUAAGAGCUUGCUCUUACGGGUGGCGAGUGGCGGACGGGUGAGGAAUACAUCGGAAUCUACUUUUUCGUGGGGGAUAACGUAGGGAAACUUACGCUAAUACCGCAUACGACCUACGGGUGAAAGCAGGGGACCUUCGGACCUUGCGCGAUUGAAUGAGCCGAUGUCGGAUUAGCUAGUUGGCGGGGUAAAGGCCCACCAAGGCGACGAUCCGUAGCUGGUCUGAGAGGAUGAUCAGCCACACUGGAACUGAGACACGGUCCAGACUCCUACGGGAGGCAGCAGUGGGGAAUAUUGGACAAUGGGCGCAAGCCUGAUCCAGCCAUACCGCGUGGGUGAAGAAGGCCUUCGGGUUGUAAAGCCCUUUUGUUGGGAAAGAAAAGCAGCAGGUUAAUACCCCGCUGUUCUGACGGUACCCAAAGAAUAAGCACCGGCUAACUUCGUG